CUCAUCCUGGUUAACAAGUUAUCUCCAGUGGCCUGUCAUUUCAGUGUGUCAACCUAAAUAAAGAGGGAAACUGUGGCAAGCUCAAAUGACCAGAAAUUGAGUUUAUUCAGGAAUGGCAGAGGAAUGGCAAUUAGGGAAAUGCUUACUGUAGCAAGCUACAGGGGACUCGCUUGAGGGUUUGGGAUGGGUUGUGUUUUGAGCAAGGGGCACAAAGAAGGGGAAGUCCAGCCAGAGUAUAAGUGGUUAAGUUCACCGGCUUGAGGACGGGGAGAGAUUCUUUGAAGAUGUUCGUUAGUCAAGAGAUAAGUCUCUGUCUUCUGUCAAUUAGGCAUUUAGGGAUAUUAGUCUCUCAGUUCUUAAGUUCCGUCCUUCUGAGGGUGCAUGGGUGAGAUUCGCCAUUUCAUAUCCUCUGGUUCCAUUUUAGAUUGAAAUUCUUUCACAAGUGCUAUCCUUGUCAUCAAGGUCAUCAAGACCUGUACCCAUCACUGACCUGGUGGUAGUUUCUGCAGGUGAAGAAAGAAGACUCGGCCUGGUGUUAAACUCAGCGGUAUUGUUACAUGCCAAGGAAGCCUCAUAUAGUCAUUUUGCACUGGGAUCUUCAAACUACCUUCGUGGUCCUGCCAAGAGGAAAAAUUGUCUCUAGAGAUACUCGGCUGAGUUACAGAGGUUCUCCAAUGAUUUAGUAGUGGUGGUGGUAGAAGUCACAGCAGUUGGAAACUACAAGUUUCAAAAUGUGAGGGGGAGGAAGAAAAGCAAGUACGGGGAGAAGGAAGAAGCCCUUCUGUCCAAGAGGCCUGUAAGCUGAUCCUGGGGAGAAGGGAGAAGGUCCCGGAAUUGCUGG
rnacentral:lncRNA from 1 species